rnacentral:sRNA from 1 species
CCUGGCGACAGUGAGCAUGCAUGCAAGCUGCGGCUGUGAGGCCCUCAUCACUGUCAUUCCAAUAAAUGUCUCAGUUACUUCUUAAAAGAAUAACCUGUCUUGAUUUUAGUUCCUCUGCUGGUCUGGGUUCUAAUUCGGCGCCUCCCAUCCCUGACUCAAGGCUCGGAGAAGAGAACAAAGGCCAUCAGAUGCUGGUGAAGAUGGGCUGGAGUGGCUCUGGCGGCCUCGGUGCGAAGGAGCAAGGGAUCCAGGACCCCAUCAAGGGCGGGGACGUCCGGGAUAAGUGGGACCAGUAUAAAGGCGUGGGCGUGGCUCUGGACGACCCCUAUGAGAACUACCGCAGGAACAAGAGCUACUCCUUCAUCGCCCGCAUGAAGGCCAGGGACGAGUGUAAGUAGGCGCCCAUGCCGGGAGCCACGCCGGUGGCCAGCGGUGCCGGCUGUGGGACCUUCCUGGCUGACUGGCAGUGGAAGAUCGCAGUGACCGCUCAGUUCUCACACCGUCUCCACUUGUGGAGAGAAGGAAGACCAGCGCAUGCCCAGUGGGAACACCGUGCUCCAUGGCGUGGAGGGCACGGGUGCCACCCACAAACCACACCAGGAGGCGCUGCAGCCACCAGGGCCCCAGGCUCGUUUUCCUUUAUAGUGAAGCAAGAAACACA